AGAAUUUUAUAAAACCUUGAAAUAGACGAAAUGCUUUGGGGAGUUAAAAAUAAGCAUAGAUCUGGAUAUUCCCGAAUGGGUCAACCUUUCGAACUGCUGUUGAAUCGAUGUGCAGGCAAAAGACAACCUGGUGAACUGAAACAUCUUAGUAACCAGAGGAAAAAAAAGUAAAAGUGAUUCCCGUAGUAGCGGCGAGCGAAAUGGGAACAUCCUAAACCGUGAAAUCGGGGUUGUGAGAGAGAAAUACAAGCGUCAUGCUGAUAGGCAAAGCGGUUGAUUAUUGCACCCUAGAUAGCGAGAGUCCAGUAGCUGAAAGCAUCACUGACUCACGCUUUGACCCGAGUAGCAUGGGGCACAUGGAAUGGGCUUGCAUGUGGUAGGCCCAAAGUGGCAACAGCCCCCCACAUCUAAAUAAAAUUUU
rnacentral:ncRNA from 1 species